CUGCUCACUUCACCAGCAUAUAUACUAAAAUUGAACGAUAGAGAAGAUUAGUAUGAUCCCGGCACAAGGAUGGCAUACAGAUUUGUGAACCAAAAUCCAAUCAA